AUUCACUCAGAGCAGAGGCUGUCCUUCCUUUGCCUGUCAGAGGGUUUCAAAACUGCCGUACCAGGGACGGAUUCAGAUCACAUACUGCAGCAACCAAUGACCCUAGUCCUCCCCUUCAGCUGUGAAACCCCAGAAUGGUCCUAGGAUGGGAAGCAAGUCCUGACAGCUGCCUAGAGGUUGUUUGCUAACUAAUCCCAGAAGAAAUGCUCUUAGAAAGAGACCAGAAAAAUAAAGAAGAAAAAUGGGACCGGUGCACACAAGGACAGGAGGGUAGCUACUGGCAGCUCACGCAGGUGUGCUCUGAAAAGUCAAACCUGCAUCAGCAUUUGGUAGGAAACCUUUGAGCUCUUCUACCUCUUGGAAAGCACAAUUGAAUCAGACGCGCGUGCGCACACGCACACACUUCAUAGGAUCCCACCUCCAAGUCUCCUGGGAAGCAGGUUCUCUGGGUGAAAGAGUGAGGCCAGGUGACAGUCCAAGGACAUGGUGAUCUUAGCAGGCCCACCCAGAACACUGAUACAGGACACUGUUCACUUCAGUCCUGGCAGCCUUUUCAUCUUUCUUAAGUGUGCGAAUAGUUACAGUACUGCUUUGCUUCCGAAACUGGAUAGUGAGACAGCCGCCAUCACCACCACCACUGCCAGGCCAAGCACUCCCAUCCUGGCCACUAUGGAGUCUCCUGAAAGAACUUGCCCUGUGAGUGACAGAGCCACCAGGAAGGAUGCCUGCACACUAGGCAGCGACCAGCCAGGACAGCAGAUUGCUUGGAGAGGGGUGGGCAGAGCCCUCAGCAAGUUUCACCUUCCACUCGCUCACCAUUCAGACACCGACUGCCUUUUCUAUGAAGAACUGUGGGCCUCGGGUGGCCAUACGGUCAGCUUUUCUACGUAAAAUCCAGGCCAGGAAGCGAUGAGAGACGUGGAGCUGAAUUGCACCCCUUCCAGGGGUAUGGCUCAACUCUGGAGACGAUGCAUCAAUAUAAUUGCCCGACAUUUCCUUUCCUUUCUUCAAAGGGGGACCCAUUGGCUAAAAACAUAAUUACCCUAUUUGCAGCCUUUAAAACUGUAUGGGUGCAAUACUCAGUCUAAUGGGUGCUGGCAAGUGCUAUUUUCCUACAUGUGUAGAAUUGGUGAGUAUUUGGGGGUAUUGAAGAAAAACAAAAGACACACAUUGUCCUGAAGAUAUUGUAAACCAUGGUGAGUUAACCCAGACAAUGGAAUUAGGAUCACAUGGGAAGUUUGGGUCUUUUUUGAAGUUAAAGUGCAUUUUCAAGUGGGAAUCAGUAGAGAUUUCAUAAACUGAUGCCUUCUUGCUUUUCCAUAUCCUCUCCCAUUUUUCAGCGGUGAAGAUGAAAUUUUAUUUGACAUAUUUAUGGGAUUAAUGACUAAGAAUCUCUUACUAUAGUAUUCUCUUCUCCAAAAUUACCCUGGGAAUGGCCAAAGUCCACGAUCACAAAAUCAUAAACCCAUAUGUCGGUGUGUCUUUAGAGCAAUACUUUCUAUGAAUAAUUAAAAGCCCUGAAAGAUGAAGCCCCUUAUAUUGAUUUCUACCUUU
rnacentral:lncRNA from 1 species